UUGUGGGCACAAAGACGCACACUUACAUCGGUAAACCGGUUGUCACCAAUCUACUUUACAUGCUGUAGUGGAAAAUCAAGUAAAGUCAAUACACAACACGACAUGGUUUUUCAUUGGUUUUGUCGUCUUCAUUUCUUUGGCUAUAGAUAUUGGGUUUUAGACUUGAAAGAUGUUCUGGAAACUUGACAGCGAGAUCUUUCCAUGGACAUAAAGAUCAUCUUCUAGUUGUCUUGCUGUUUGAUGGGAAAUUGUUUCCAAAGUUGACUGCUUGCAGGUUUGUUACCUUCCGGCUCUGUCUUAGUAAAUUGGUUAUAACUUUCAAACCGUAAAUCUAAACCGUGAUCCGCUUUUUCCUGCAGUUUC